rnacentral:rRNA from 1 species
CCUACGGGUUGCACCAGUGGGGAAUAUUGCACAAUGGGCGCAAGCCUGAUGCAGCCAUGCCGCGUGUAUGAAGAAGGCCUUCGGGUUGUAAAGUACUUUCAGCGGGGAGGAAGGCGAUAAGGUUAAUAACUUUGUCGAUCGACGUUACCCGCAGAAGAAGCACCGGCUAACUCCGUGCCAGCAGCCGCGGUAAUACGGAGGGUGCAAGGGUUAAUCGGAAUUACUGGGCGCAAAGCGCACGCAGGCGGUCUGUCAAGUCGGAUGUGAAAUCCCCGGGCUCAACCUGGGUACUGCAUUCGAAACUGGCAGGCUUGAGUCUUGUAGAGGGGGGUAGAAUUCCAGGUGUAGCGGUGAAAUGCGUAGAGAUCUGGAGGAAUACCGGUGGCGAAGGCGGCCCCCUGGACAAAGACUGACGCUCAGGUGCGAAAGCGUGGGGAGCAAACAGGAUUAGAUACCCCUGUAGUC